AUCCUGGAUAUGCACAACUGCCGGGGGGUUCCAACAGCACAGAGCAUGGAGCAAAUCUUGAAGGAGCUUGCUCACCAAAAACUGGUUCAAGAGCCUGCUUUUGUGAUUGAACAGUGGAGCAACAUGCUUGUACCUGUUAGAUCAGAGCUGAAAGGGAUUGCAGCAGUCUAUGAGACUAGAGAGAGCUACACCCAACAUCACGAAAGAUCACCAGAUCAAUCACUUACCCCAUCACCCAGAAUGCCCAGGAAAAACAAGUAGUCAAGAAAGAAAAUCACGGUCAGCUUCACACAACUCCAGGGAUUUCAG
ensembl:lncRNA